rnacentral:rRNA from 1 species
GCAUAUCCAAAAAGCGGAGGAAAAGAAACUAACAAGGAUUCCCCUAGUAACUGCGAGUGAAGCGGGAAAAGCUCAAAUUUAAAAUCUGGUGGUCUUUGGCCAUCCGAGUUGUAAUCUAGAGAAGUGUUAUCCGCGCUGGACCGUGUACAAGUCCCCUGGAAUGGGGCGUCAUAGAGGGUGAGAAUCCCGUCUUUGACACGGACUACCAGGGCUUUGUGAUGCACUCUCAAAGAGUCGAGUUGUUUGGGAAUGCAGCUCAAAAUGGGUGGUAAAUUCCAUCUAAAGCUAAAUAUUGGCGAGAGACCGAUAGCGAACAAGUACCGUGAGGGAAAGAUGAAAAGAACUUUGGAAAGAGAGUUAAACAGUACGUGAAAUUGUUGAAAGGGAAACGCUUGAAGUCAGUCGCGUCUGCCAGGGAUCAACCUUACUUUUGUGAGGCGUACUUCCUGGUUGAUGGGUCAGCAUCAGUUUUGGUCGCUGGAUAAAGGUCAGAGAAAUGUGGCACCUUCGGGUGUGUUAUAGUCUUUGAUCAGAUACAGUGGCUGGGACUGAGGAACUCAGCGCCGCAAGGCUGUCUUAGGAUGCUGGCAAAAUGGCUUUAAUCGACCCGUCUUGAAACACGGACAAAAGGAGUCA